rnacentral:rRNA from 1 species
GCGCGUAGGCGGGUGGCCAGGUCGGGGGUGAAACCUUUCGGCUCAACCGGAAGCCUGCCCCCGAUACCGGCCGCCUGGAGGGGGGUAGGGGCACGCGGAACUUCCGGUGGAGCGGUGAAAUGCGUAGAUAUCGGAAGGAACGCCGGCGGCGAAAGCGGCGUGCUGGACCCCGCCUGACGCUGAGGCGCGAAAGCCAGGGGAGCGAACGGGAUUAGAUACCCCGGUAGUCCUGGCCCUAAACGAUGGGUACUAGGUAGUGGGCUGGACAUGGGCUCACUGCCGGAGCCAAAGUGCUAAGUACCCCGCCUGGGGAGUAUGGCCGCAAGGCUGAAACUCAAAGGAAUUGACGGGGGCUCACACAAGCGGUGGAGCAUGUGGCUUAAUUCGAGGCUACGCGAAGAACCUUAUCCUGGGCUUGACAUGUGCGAAAGCGCUAGGGAGUAGGGUGCGGAAACGUUACCCCAACGGUACCCAGUCCGGAACCUAUACAGGUGCUGCAUGGCUGUCGUCAGCUCGUGUCGUGAGAUGUUGGGUUAAGUCCCGUAACGAGCGAAACCCUUGCCUCCAGUU